CAAGUUGAAGCAAACACCGAUUGUGAGAAAGAAAGGAGAGAAAGGAGAAGGAGAAGAAGAAGGAAAAAGAAGAAGAAAAAAAAGGUAAUGUAUUAUUUUAGUAAUUUAUUAUAAAAUUAUGGUGUUUUGUGAGUUUUUAGCAAUGUAAAUUUUAAAAAAAAAUUGUAUAGUUAUUUUGUUAGUAGUUUAUGAUUAGGUUAUAAAUUAUUAGUGUUUUGUAUUUUGUUAUAGUUAUUUGUUUUGUUAAUAAUUUAUGGGAUUAGGUUACAAAUUGUUAGUGU
rnacentral:lncRNA from 1 species